ensembl:lncRNA
GAAAUAUAAAAUUUGAAUAUCACCUAUUAAAGAAAGUAUAUUCCUAGCUUGAAAACCUACCUAUAUGACAACAACAGGUUCAUAUACAUUUUAAAUGAUAAAUUAAUUAUAUCAAACAUUCAAAGCAGAAAAAAGAAAUACUUCUUUCCUCAUUUUAGGAAACCAACAUUGUGCUAAUACUAAAACUGGAUAAAGAUAGUAGAAAAAAGUAUGCACAUAGAUAGAAAUUUGUUUAACAAAACAAACUCUUAGAAGUCAGAUCUGGUAAUAUGUAGAAAGUGGUUUUAUUAUAGGGAAGGCAGUGUUGGUUCAGCAUUGGAAGAUCCACCCCCAAAAGUCAUCAUUUUAACAGAGGAAAGGAAAAAGCCAUAUGAUCCUGUCACUAGUUGGAGAAAAAGUAUUGGAAUAAAUUCUACAGGUGUUCAUGGUAAAAGCUAUCAGGAGACUAGAAGUAGAACAGAACCUUCUCAACAGAUCAAAGGCAUGUACUCCAUACUUCCAGCAAAAACGCCUUAUAUGAAUAGAGAAGAUUCAAUGCUUUUUCCCUAAGGUAGGGAACAAGGCGGCAGUGAAACUCAGCUGGUCCCAGCACCUGGAAGGAAGCUCCCCACCUCCAUCCCAGGCUCCUAGAGCAGUGAAGCUCAGCUGGUCCCAGCACCUGGAAGGAAGCUCCCCCACAGCCAUCCCAGGCUUCUAGGGCCAAGAAGGUGAGCCGGUCCCAGCACUCAGAAGGAAGCUCCCCUGCUGCCAUCCCAAGCUCCUAGGCCACAGAAGGUGAGCCGCAUGGGUGCCAGAAGCACCCCCCACCCCCGUGGAAAUGAGAAGACACAUAAACAAGCCUCAAAAACAGACUUCCAGAUCAACUAUAGCAACCCCAAAGCGAAACAAGAUGGAACACUGAAACUCAACCACCUGGACUCUGAACUGGCAACAAAAGAGGAUCUGGGAAAAAUGAAAUCAGAAAUAAUUACUCAGAUAACAGCAAAGAUUUUGCUCAUGGUGCAAGACAUGAUUAAUAAAUCUAGAGAGGACACAGAUAAAAAAGUAGAGGAUCUGAGGAACAUGAUGGAAUCCCAACAUAGGAAACAAACGAAAUCCAUAAAACAGAUACAAACAGAUUUCCAAGAGAUUAAAAACUCCAUCGAAAUUCUGCACAGCAGAAUGAACCAAUGUGAGGAUAGAAUUUCACAUAUAGAAGAUAAGAUUGCGAUUAGGAGGAAAAGAAAAAUUGCUUUAAAAUUGUAAGGGAACAUGAGAAAUCAAUCCAGCAGCUGCUAGACAAUGCAAAGAAGAAUAACAUAAGACUGAUUGGAGUCAAUGAAGAAAGGAGAGAGUGUAGAUGACAUAAAAAACUCUUCACAGAAGUGAUGGCAGAAAACUUCCCAAGGAGGGGAAAAGAACUUGACAUACAGAUAAGUGAGGCAUACAGGACUCCAGCUAGCCUUAAUCAAAAAAAAUCUACACAUAGGCAUAUAAUAGUUAGGAUUCCAGAAAUCCAACAGAAGAACAAAAUUCUAUAAGCAGUGAGAGAAAAGAAACAAAUCACAUACAAAGGAAAGCCCAUCAGAAUCACAGCAGACUUCUCAAUGCAAACCCUCAAGGCAAAAAGAGCUUGUAGUGAUAUAUUUCAAGCCCUAAAGGAAAACAGCCUCCAACCCAGAUUGAUGUACCCUGCAAAACUAUCUUUCAAAAUUGAUGGAGAAAUAAGAUAUUUUCAUGAUAAAGAGCACCUCAGGAACUUCA